GAAAUGUGAUAAGUAAUGUGAAUUGCAGAAUUCAGUGAAUCAUCGAAUCUUUGAACGCACCUUGCGCUCUCUGGUAUUCCGGAGAGCAUGCCUGUUUGAGUGUCAUGAACUCUUCAACCCACCCUUUCCUUGUUGAUCGGUGUUGGUGUUUGGAUCUUGAACGUUUUGCAGACUGCUUGUCAGCCUGCUCGUUCGUAAUACAUUAGCCUUCUCAAUUUCGACCUUCGGAUUGACUCAGCGUAAUAGACUAUUCGCUGAGGACACUGCUUCGGCGGUGGCCGAACUGUAGAUAACUACGAAGCUUCUAAUCUCAUAUUUGUAGUCAAAUUUUUUGAAUUUAGACCUCAAAUCAGGCAGGAUUACCCGCUGAACUUAA
rnacentral:misc_RNA from 1 species